GACGAACGCUGGCGGCGUGCUUAACACAUGCAAGUCGAACGGAAAGGCCCUGCUUUUUUGGGGUGCUCGAGUGGCGAACGCGUGAGUAACACGUGAGUAACCUGCCCUUGACUUUGGGAUAACUUCAGGAAACUGGGGCUAAUACCGGAUCGCAGCUCCUGCUCCGUGGUGGGGGUUGGAACGUUUAGGCGGUUGGGGAUGGACUCGCGGCUUAUGAGCUUGUUGGUGGGGUAGUGGCUGACCAAGGCUUUGACGGGUAGCCGGCCUGGGAGGGUGGCCGGGGUCAUGGGGACUGAGGGACGGAGCAGAGGGGAAUGGGGGGCAGUAGUGGGGAGCAUGGUACAGUGGGCGCGAGCGGGAGGCAGCGGCGCCGGGGGCGGAAAGACGGCCUGCUGGGUGUAAACAGCAUUCGCCUGUGACGAAGCGGGAGUGACGGUAACGAGUAAAGAAGCACCGGCUAACUACGUG
rnacentral:rRNA from 1 species